CACAAGGUUAAGAAGCGAGACUUCUGGUUUCAAACGUCCAUCUACACACAGGGAAUUCCAACUCAAUUUGUCAGAACCAACUGACUCGAAUGUCCUCUAACAUCUCCCAACAAUGUUUAUCUGUUUAGAUUCUUGGUCAUUUAAAGAAGGCAAAUGACUGGCUGAACCGAGAGUCACAGCAAAUACACUGGAGAAGAACACCUGAGGAAUUUAUCCUCAAGGGGCACGGCUAUGACACAGUCUCCCAGACUGAGCUGCUAUUUUCACUUCCGAGGAGAGGAGGAAGAGAGCAGAGUAGGUCCUCUUAACACACGUGAUCCACGCACUCGUGGGGCACAGAAGCAGUGAAGGUCUCUUUUGGGAAGGCUGACCUUACUUGUCUGGCUCGUGCCCAUCUCUGCCAGGGAAAAAAGUCUACCAAGAAGAAGGGAUGGAGAAAGGAGGAGAUCAAGGAGCGGAGAGGGAAGUGGCAAAGCACGGGGAGCAUGGCGAACGGAAUUAACUUCCAGCAACACUUUAAAAUAGUAACAUGAAGCAGAUAAGGAAGAAAACUAAUAUAAUCUGGAAUGAAAAUGAAUUUGUAAAAUAGAAACGUCUGGUGUAUCAACAGCAUAACACUCUUCCCAGGGAGUCCCAACAGAAUGGUAGGUCACUGGUGGGCAGGUCUACUGCAACAUGAAAAACCCUGCAAGCUAAAUGCCUGAGACCCGAGCACGAGGCUAUCAGCAGCUGCACACGGCCCACGCCAGCCACCUAAGCACAUGAGCAGCUGCCCUGCGCUUUCUGCUCUCCUGCCCUACUGCACCCAGUCAACUUUGAACAGUUUACUUCACUCAUAUGGCCAACAUGAGAAGUGUCACCCUCCCAUUGUCUGUGCCCUGCAUGGGAACCUGGGGUCUUUAUUUCCUAAGAUCACAAGUUCUAACACCACAGCUGCAGAGAGCCAUGUCAGAGAGCCAGCAGAGCUCAGACCGAGGAGUGCUCACCAUGUCUUUUCCACCUGUGACCUCUUAUUGACAUGCUGGUAACUGCAUUCCUUGAUAUUCUGGAGGACGUUGGUGUGAUCUCCACUUGAAUACACCGUGUACCUUCCUUACUAGAUUUCAUGGCACCCGGAGGCAAUGAAGCCUUUAUUGCAUUAGCAACCUAAAAGGAAAUAAUGAAGUUGAAGACUGGUAAGCAGAUACACUACUUACUUUUAGAUGAAAUAUAAGGCUAAGCUUUACCAAAUUCAUAAGAAGAGUUUUCUCCCCAAGGUAUAUUAAUAUGAUGACACAUAAACCCUCCAAAAGAGAGAGUAGGAGGGACAGAGGGAUGCUUACACCUCAGAACAAUGUGAAGGUUUGUGGUUGGUAAAUAUCGAACUAGGUUUCUUUCUCAGCUUCAAAUGCUAACUGAAAAUGUACUUAGUGCGCUGAAAUUCUUAGGAGCAGAAGAAAGUACUUAGUUAAAUUAAAUCUCCAAUUUUUAUACAAGUA